rnacentral:rRNA from 1 species
GAUGAACGCUGGCGGCGUGCUUAACACAUGCAAGUCGAACGAUGAAGCCCAGCUUGCUGGGUGGAUUAGUGGCGAACGGGUGAGUAACACGUGAGUAACCUGCCCUUAACUCUGGGAUAAGCCUGGGAAACUGGGUCUAAUACCGGAUAGGAGCGUCCACCGCAUGGUGGGUGUUGGAAAGAUUUAUCGGUUUUGGAUGGACUCGCGGCCUAUCAGCUUGUUGGUGGGGUAAUGGCUCACCAAGGCGACGACGGGUAGCCGGCCUGAGAGGGUGACCGGCCACACUGGGACUGAGACACGGCCCAGACUCCUACGGGAGGCAGCAGUGGGGAAUAUUGCACAAUGGGCGGAAGCCUGAUGCAGCGACGCCGCGUGAGGGAUGACGGCCUUCGGGUUGUAAACCUCUUUCAGUAGGGAAGAAGCGAAAGUGACGGUACCUGCAGAAGAAGCACCGGCUAACUACGUG